GGCCGGGAGCAGGGGCCUGGGGGUGGACAGGGUUUGACGUGUGCUGUGGCCUCGGGCAACGUCCCGUGUGCUGGGACUCCGUUUCCUGUCCUGUCACAGAGCACGGUCACGCAUCCCUGCUCCACGGAAGGGCCACGGAGAGCCCACGAGCCGGUGGGCGUGAGCGCCCGCACCCGGCCAGGUGCACGAUCCUUCUCUCUGCUUUCUCGACAGACACUCUCCACGGACUCGCUCCUGCUCUCUCGGAGCCGGCUGGAGGCAGCGGGAAGCCCAGGAGACCAGCGUGGAGAGCCGCUGGCGAGGAAGGCAGCAUUAGCCGGGCCAUUAGAGGCUGCCACAGCGAAGUUUCCUCCCCGCGGGCUGGCGAGCGGCAAAGCAGAGCCCGAGGGAGCUGACGGCCCGGCCUCGGCGCGCGGGACGGGAAGCGAACGGAGCCACGCUCCCCUGUGCGGGCAGCAGUUCCCGGGGGAGACACCCCCCACACAGGCACACACACGCCUAACAGCACGGAGAAACGCGCCGCCCGCAGCAGUUGGUAGCAUUAUGUAAAACCCUAAGCGCACAAAAAUAUCAUUUGGAUGAUAAAAAGUUAAAUUUA